UAAACGUCUCAGUUCGGAUUGUAGUCUGCAACUCGACUACAUGAAGCUGGAAUCGCUAGUAAUCGCAGAUCAGAAUGCUGCGGUGAAUACGUUCCCGGGUCUUGUACACACCGCCCGUCACACCAUGGGAGUCGGAAAUGCCCGAAGCCGGUGACCCAACCAAAAGGAGGGAGCCGUCGAAGGCAGGUCUGAUAACUGGGGUGAAGUCGUAACAAGGUAGC
rnacentral:rRNA from 1 species